CCGCCGCCGCCUCUUGCGACGUCGCUGCGUCAAGUCCAGCGCGGUCACGACUGCUUCGACGCGCGCGGGAUCCCUCCGCUGGGACAAGUAGUGCCCUGAGGCUGCCGGGGCUCUGCCUCGGCGCAGCUGGUGUCAUCUAGCAGCCGGCAGUUCCGAGCGAUUUGGGGUCCCUGUGCCUUGGAGUGGCGUCUGGAGAGUGAGGGCGGCGGAGGCUGCCCCGCAGUUGAGGACAGUAGGGAUCGUUGGUUUUGAACCCUGCCCACGGAUACCUGGGGCCCCAUGACCCCAAGGAAUGGUGCCAAAUGUCCUUCCCCGCCCCCCAACCUCCGCCACCUCACCGUAGCGACAGGCACCUUAGCCUCCUCUCCAGGAAACCUGACGCCUUUUCCGACCUGGCACACCGCGGAUUCCGGGACCCCCAACAAAGGCGCCUUGGACCUUCAGGACACCCCUCCUUUCAGAGCUUCAUGAGCCCCAGGUGCUAGACGCGUCUCUGCCGAGGCCUUUCCCGUACCUGGUCUUACUUUCCUUCUUAAGGCAAAGGAGUUGGAACUCUAAAGGCCCUUCUGAUUCUCAAGUAAAACUAUAAGGUGGUCAUCACGUGAAAGAAGAGGAAACAUAGGCUCAGUAGUUCAAGAGUGUCAGAGGCAGGAUUUGAAGCCAGAAUUGUCUGAUUCUAAGCCCUCUCUCUUGCCUACCUUCAAAGGCUCUAAACCAGCGGGACUGUUUACACCAGCGUGAGAGUCGUAAUGUCCUGGGUGAGGCACUGUGAGAAGGUGUGAUCCAAAUAUCACAAAUAAAGGGUAAAGAGACCUA